GACGAACGCUGGCGGCGUGCUUAACACAUGCAAGUCGAACGGAAAGGCCCUGCUUUUGUGGGGUGCUCGAGUGGCGAACGGGUGAGUAACACGUGAGUAACCUGCCCUUGACUUUGGGAUAACUUCAGGAAACUGGGGCUAAUACCGGAUAGGAGCUCCUGCUGCAUGGUGGGGGUUGGAAAGUUUCGGCGGUUGGGGAUGGACUCGCGGCUUAUCAGCUUGUUGGUGGGGUAGUGGCUUACCAAGGCUUUGACGGGUAGCCGGCCUGAGAGGGUGACCGGCCACAUUGGGACUGAGAUACGGCCCAGACUCCUGCGGGAGGCAGCAGUGGGGAAUAUUGCACAAUGGGCGGAAGCCUGAUGCAGCAACGCCGCGUGCGGGAUGACGGCCUUCGGGUUGAAAACCGCUUUCGCCUGUGACGAAGCGUGAGUGACGGUAAUGGGUAAAGAAGCACCGGCUAACUACGU
rnacentral:rRNA from 1 species